GAUGAACGCUGGCGGCGUGCCUAAUACAUGCAAGUCGAGCGAACAGACGAGGAGCUUGCUCCUCUGACGUUAGCGGCGGACGGGUGAGUAACACGUGGAUAACCUACCUAUAAGACUUGGAUAACUUCGGGAAACCGGAGCUAAUACCGGAUAAUAUAUUGAACCGCAUGGUUCAAUAGUGAAAGACGGUUUUGCUGUCACUUAUAGAUGGAUCCGCGCCGCAUUAGCUAGUUGGUAAGGUAACGGCUUACCAAGGCAACGAUGCGUAGCCGACCUGAGAGGGUGAUCGGCCACACUGGAACUGAGACACGGUCCAGACUCCUACGGGAGGCAGCAGUAGGGAAUCUUACGCAAUGGGCGAAAGCCUGACGGAGCAACGCCGCGUGAGUGAUGAAGGUCUUCGGAUCGUAAAACUCCGUUAUUAGGGAAGAACAAAUGUGUAAGUAACUAUGCACGUCUUGACGGUACCUAAUCAGAAAGCCACGGCUAACUACGUG
rnacentral:rRNA from 1 species